UGUCACAGCGAUACCAAAGAGAAUUUGACUAGAGGAAUAGAAAGGCCACAGGUAUGGCGCCAUCGCACGAAAAGAUGGCACCAUAGCUUUGGCAUAUCCUCGAAUAGAUGGCGAUACUUUUUGACAUUAAGAAACACAUAUCAGUGAAAAAAUAAGGAUCAAAGUCAAAUGGCGUUCUAAAAGUGUUAAUCAUUUGGGUCGAAAGAUGGCAGUAAAAGUUACAUAAUUUACUUUGAUAAUAUUCCUCUAUUUCAAAUUAGCUUUGGCGAUACUCUACCGGCCUGUUAGUGUCAAAAGUGACAUUUCUUCAACCAAAAACGUCACUUUUGACACUGAUCGAUCGGUAUCGUAUCCCUGUGGCAUCUUAUAAGCAUUGUUAGAAUUGGGCCGCGAGGUGCUAUGGGGAAAAUAUCCGUUUCGUUUCUAUGGUAACACAAAUAAAACCUACAAUACGUUGCAGUCGCUUUGCGGAAUAAAUGGAAGGGACCCCUGAAACCGAAUAUCAUGGAUCACGUUCCUAGGUUUCUCGAUUUAAUCUUGGAGGCUGUUUUCCAUUGAUUUUGUAAUGGUUUAUGAAAUACAACGUAGGUAUAGAUUCAGAAAUAUAGUCCCAUUUUUUAACCUUUCGACGCCGUGUCAAACACAAAAGCUGUCACUCGGACGCCACGCCCACGCCACCCAAGUGUCAAAACUGAAAUUGAACUUUAAGCAUAUGCACGUACGUCUAUGUUGCUCUGUGGUCUGUGACCGAUUAAUCGGUCUUUGGCGUUGAAACUGCGGUGCGGUUGAUUGUUAUUAAACUAGAUCGUUGCAUCAGAUACAUCAGAGCGGCCGAGGUGUUCACAAAUAUCUGAACACACCUCUUUUCUGAAGGCAAUUAGAGUGCGUGUUCAGACAUUUAUGAGUACCUCGGCCGUUCAGAUAUUUUGGUGUACCAAAAAUGUAAUUUUGACGAGCUGUUCAUAAGAUUCAAUAGAGAUGGUCUCUAGAUGAAAUGUUUAUUUAAUUCAUAUUUCAUUAAUGUUUAAUUUUGUUUGACAUUGGCAGGAGUAAUUAUUUCUCAUCUCUGACCUUACCUUUACCAGGCUAAAUAUUUCCGAGAUGUGUUCUAUUUUCGAUGAGUAAGACUGACACUCGAUUGUCAUUUUCAGACAUAGAAAUCCGCAGGGCAAAUUGUGAAUUAGACUUUAUGUUUGUGCACUUAUGGUACUACAUAAUUACAACAAAAUAGUUAAAAAUUAGUUUUAAUUGCCUAAUCGUUUUAAAACAGCCUAAAUUUUGUUGUAAUUAGUACCAUAAGUGCACAAACAUAAAGUCUUACUUAAUUCACAAUUUGCCCCGCGGAUUCCUAUGUCCAUUUUUAAAAUGUCUGCCUGGUAAAGGGUUAAAAUAUUUACUAUUGACGAGUGUUUCGUAUGAUUGAGUGUGUCAUGUAAUUUUGUAAAGUUUGUGUAUCUUGGAUGUAUUUAUACGGAUUGUUAUCAAAUAAAUUAUGUAGAUGAAAUUAAAUAAAUAUAUUUUUCAAAAA